CGUAGGGUGCGAGCGUUAAUCGGAAUUACUGGGCGUAAAGCGUGCGCAGGCGGUUUUGUAAGACAGGCGUGAAAUCCCCGGGCUCAACCUGGGAACUGCGCUUGUGACUGCAAGGCUAGAGUACGGGCAGAGGGGGGUGGAAUUCCACGUGUAGCAGUGAAAUGCGUAGAGAUGUGGAGGAACACCAAUGGCGAAGGCAGCCCCCUGGGUCGAUACUGACGCUCAUGCACGAAAGCGUGGGUAGCAAACAGGAUUAGAUACCCUGGUAGUCCACGCCCUAAACGAUGUCAACUAGGUGUUGGGUGGGUAAAACCAUUUAGUACCGGAGCUAACGCGUGAAGUUGACCGCCUGGGGGAGUACGGCCGCAAGGUUA
rnacentral:rRNA from 1 species